UUUUUUAAUAAAAGAAAAUCUCAUCUUCGGUAAAGGACAAACAACUUUUGAACAAUAUUAAAAGGAUAUAAUCGACGUGUACUACCAACAGCUAUAGAAAACAAAAUUAAUCUAAAUAUUUAUUAUUUUACUUUCACUAUAUUUACAUUAUCUAUUUACAUACUAAUCCAUAUAUAUGUAUAUAUGCGUUAGAUAUUUGUAAUUCGGCAUGUAUAUGUGACUGCAUGGUUUAUAUAUAUAUAUAUAUGCAUUUGUCGAUUGUUGAAAGUGAAAGUAAAGGAAAAUGAAAUGAUUUCGAUGUGUAUUUAAUGGAAGAACAGUAAUGGAGAGAUAUUAUAUGAUGGAUAAGAUUCCCUGAAUGCAUGGAGAUGUUUUAUUAUACACGAUUCUUGUAAAGCAAAUGACAACGAAAGCAACAAAACGUUAUUGGUAAACUGCAGCAAUUAUAAUUCAACCACACCAGAACGAAUUGUAAAAGUGUAUAGUUGAGUAUUGCCAUAGGCAUCUAUAACAACUACAACAGGAUGCAUUUGGUUAUUGUUGCUGCUGCUGAUGAUGAUGGUAGCAUGACAGUAAAAUUUAGAUUAUAAGGAUAAAAAAAAAAUUGUGAAUAUAUGCCGUAAAUGUGUGUGUUUAAAUAGUGAACAGUGAAAAACAAUAUGUAAUUUGUUUUACAAAUUAUUUAAAAAAAAAAAAAAAAAAAAAAAAAAA